rnacentral:rRNA from 1 species
UACGUAGGGGGCAAGCGUUGUCCGGAUUUAUUGGGCGUAAAGAGCGUGUAGGCGGCCUGACAGGUCUGCUGUGAAAACUCGAGGCUCAACCUCGAGAUGUCGGCGGAAACCGUCUGGCUAGAGUCCGGAGGAGGAGAGUGGAAUUCCUGGUGUAGCGGUGAAAUGCGCAGAUAUCAGGAAGAACACCUAUGGCGAAGGCAGCUCUCUGGGACGGUACUGACGCUGAGGAGCGAAAGUGUGGGGAGCGAACAGG